AACGAACGCUGGCGGCGUGGUUUAGGCAUGCAAGUCGAGCGAGAAAGUCCUUCGGGACGAGUACAGCGGCGAAAGGGUGAGUAAUAUAUAGGUAACCUACCUCUUGGACUCGGAUAAUUCCUGGAAACGGGUUGUAAUACGAGAUCGUCCUAUUGGGUCGCAUGGCCCGACUGGUAAAUGGUAGCUCUGCUUCUGCCGAGAGAGGGGCCUAUAUCCUAUUAGCUAGUUGGUGAGGUAAUGGCUCACCAAGGCUUUGAUGGGUAGCCGGACUGAGAGGUUGGCCGGUCACACUGGGACUGAGACACUGCCCAGACUCCUACGGGAGGCUGCAGUCGAGAAUCUUCCGCAAUGGGCGAAAGCCUGACGGGGCGACGCCGCGUGAACGAAGAAGGCCUUCGGUUGU
rnacentral:rRNA from 1 species